rnacentral:rRNA from 1 species
GAUGAACGCUAGCGGCAGGCCUAACACAUGCAAGUCGAACGGUAACAUGAAGUGCUUGCACUUUGAUGACGAGUGGCGCACGGGUGCGUAACGCGUAUACAAUCUGCCUUUUACUGGGGAAUAGCCUUUAGAAAUGAAGAAUAAUACCCCAUAGUAUUGUUUCUUGGCAUCGAGAAAUAAUUAAAGCUUCGGCGGUAAAAGAUGAGUAUGCGUUCUAUUAGCUAGAUGGUAAGGUAACGGCUUACCAUGGCAACGAUAGAUAGGGGCCCUGAGAGGGGGAUCCCCCACACUGGUACUGAGACACGGACCAGACUCCUACGGGAGGCAGCAGUGAGGAAUAUUGGACAAUGGGCGAGAGCCUGAUCCAGCCAUGCCGCGUGCAGGAAGACUGCCCUAUGGGUUGUAAACUGCUUUUGUACGGGAAGAAACCCACCUACGUGUAGGUGGCUGACGGUACCGUAAGAAUAAGCAUCGGCUAACUCCG